GAAUGAAUAGGCCGUUUGCUUGAAUUUGGUAACUGACAUGUGGUAUGGGUUUCUAGCAGGUCUGUUCUUUUUUUGAGAAGCUGUAAUGUGAUUAUGGAGUAAAAUGCUUGUUAGUAUAGACUGUAGGAGCUGAGGGGCCUUGUCGAAAAGUUUGAAAAUUCUUUACAGUCUUAAUUUAUGUAGUUGGUCUCUGCUGCAGGUGUGGAAAGUUUGGGAUUUCAAGAUGGAUGAUGGCGCGUGAUCUGUUAUGCAGCAUCUUCCAAUAGGCCACAGAAUGCAUUGAAGAGAGUAUGGGAUUCCACAUACUGUGUGCUGAGAAGGCACAACUGCGUUUCAGGCUCCCUGUCAGUCCUACACAUCGGCAUCAAUUACAUGUCAAUCAGAGUGAGAGGAGCUGAGAAUGUGGACAUGCAAGGCUGUGGAAGAGAAGCUUCAUCUCAGGAGGAAAAGUGUCCAACCCAAGGAUAGAGCAACUGUGUGAUGUGAUAUUUGGAAUGCGUCACAUCUAUUAUGAUGGCCUCCACAUCCCCUGAGGAAGAAGGCCUGCUAGUGUGGGGGGUUUUCAAGAAAAAGCAAAUUAGCUUGGUAAGUGCUGCAUUUGAAUUUCAUACAAUUUGUCAAGGUGCAGCUGAGUGUACAAAGUAAUGUUAGUAUUAGGCUCUUUUAAUUUCAAAGCUCUUCACACUUCUAUUUAUUUUCAGGUUGUAGAACUGCUCUCUCUGCUGUGGCCAGUGAAGACCCAACCCCAAAAAUGUUCAACAGCAGAACAGACAUUUGAACUGUCCACAGUGACAGAAGACAUGAAGUGUGGGGCCUAAACGGGGGACCAGAACUGAAGUUGUCAAGGCAGCGUACCCCACAUGCUAUGUGUUUCCAUCGCAAGUGCCUGGACUCCUCCAGCCACACAGCUCGAGUUGCAACUCAAGCAGC